ensembl:lncRNA
AUGAAGUCUGCAAGGCAUGGGAUCUCUAAGGUCUACUUCAGCUUAGACAACUAUAUUGUAUUGAACCAGUCAAUUUGUAACAAAGUGGCUUGUAUACCUGCUGUCCACCACCUGUCCUUUCAUGAUCAACUUCCAUCAGAGGCCCAUCAAAUGGUUCCAUCAAAAUUCCAUCAAAUGGUUUCAUCAACUUCCACCAAAGACCCAUCAAAUGCUUCCAUUGAAGUCAAUCAAAGGUCCAUCAAAUGCUUCCAUCAACUUCUAUCAAAGGUCUAUCAAAUUCUUCCAUCGAAGUUAUUCAAAGAUCCAUUAAAUGCUUCCAUCAAAGGUCUAUCAAAUGCUUCCAUCAAAGUCAAUCAAAGGUCCAUCAAAUGCUUCCAUCAAAGUCAAUCAAAGGUCCAUCAAAUGCUUCCAUCAACUUCUAUCAAAGGUCUAUCAAAUUCUUCCAUCGAAGUCUUUCAAAGGUCCAUUAAAUGCUUCCAUCAAAGUCAAUCAAAGGUCCAUCAAACGCUUCCAUCAACUUCCAUCAAAGGUCUAUCAAAAUGCUUCUAUUUUAGUCAUUCAAAGGUCCGUCAAAUGCUUCCAUCAUCUCAGGGUUCAAGAAAAGGACAACUUUCAGAAGAGGACUGUCCUCUGGAAAUAUACCAGACAGGGAACUAUAAAGUAGGACAUAAAAUUGAACCCCCUCCUGUGUCCUUUGGGAGGACUCGUAGUGGCCGGGGCUGAGGAAGCCCAAGGAGAUCACAGCCACUGCUUUAUUAUUGUGCAAGGCUGCCAUGACGCUGUUGCAAACAGCUUCGUAAAUGAAGCACACAAAGACAAAAACUGGGACGGGGGCUAUCCAGGCAGAGGGAGAGCGUAUUAUUUUGGAUGCAAAGCAGAGGCUUAUCUGUCUUACUGUUGCAGCACCAGAGAAAAUCAAUUUUGACACGGAACUGCCACUUUACAAGCAAAUAACUAUACUUUCCAAUAACCUAAUCUGUGCAGAGCCUACUGAAAAUUCCCUGAAGAACUAGUAGUUAAAACCUCCAUUAAAUCAAAGGCUUUAACAUGGGAAGGGAAAAUAAGAUGCCGUUUGACUUGGGAAUGUAAUGGACUCAGUGGGGAAAUAAAUAUGUUGUUUUAUGUGUACAGUUAGAGAAUUGGAGAAUGCCGCUUUCAUUUCAAAGGGAAUUCUCUCAGUACAGAACCCUCUCCUAAACAGAUGUGAUCUUUGCUUAUUCAAAAACAUUUACGUAACAAUUACUGCAUAAUAAAUUAUAAUUGCCAUUCUUGUUUCUUUUUCCCCCUUGCCUUCCUUCCUUCCUCUCUUUUUCCCUCAGUAGCUCAGUGACUUUGCAAACAAAUGGGAAGGAAAUGGCAACAAUCUAUAUAUAUAAAAGGAUAAUGAAAUUUCGGCCUAGGACAAAACAACAAAACUACACAUCCCAGAAACACUAAACUUAGCAGCACAACCCGUCAUCCAUGCCUCUACGUUCAUACAACAAAAAGAAAAGAAAAAUAAAGUCCUAAUUAGAGGGAGAGGAAUAAUUGUUUUUAUCCAAUUGCUGCCAGUUAGAAGGCUAAGUUCCGCCCACUUGGUCUCCUAGCAACCCACUCAGCCCAGGGGACAAGCAGAGUUAGGCCUCACUUAGGCCUCUUCCACACUGCUUAUAAAUUACAGAUUAUCUGAUUUUAACUGGAUUAUAUGGCAGUGUAGACUCAAGGCCCUUCCACACAGCUAUAUAACCCAUUUAUAAUGGACUUAAUGUAAGGUAAAACCUGUACCCUUUACCUUAACUACCACCAAUUCCUCAAUACUUUUAUUUCCCAUACCACCAUACUUCGCCACAGCAACGCGUGGCUGGGCACAGCUAGUCAAAACUUUUUUCCGAGGGAGCAUUAAGAGAUGCAUUUUAAGGAUGCAGUUCUGGUUCCAUGUUAAAAAUAUGUAAACAUUUUAUCUCAUUACUAUAAUUAGCAAGUGUCAGCAUGGUGUUGUAGUUUGAGCACUGGACUACAACUAUGUCAACCUAUGUUCAAAUCCCUGCUCAGCCAUCUCUGCCCUUCUGUGAUCGUCCAUCAAAGGUCUAUCAGAUGCUUCCAUCAAAGGUGACACUCUCUCAGUUUCAGAUGAAGGCAAUGGCAAUGUCCCUCUGAACAAAUUACACUGAUUAUAGAGUUCCCAUAUGUCGGAAGGCUCAUGAAGGCACAAAACAACAACUGUAAUAAGAAAUUAGGAAUGCGAGAAGCGGUAGAUACUUAGACAACAUCACCAUUAGAGUUGUGCAUUCAGAGUAAACCUUGACCCAUUUCGUGUCCCGACUGUCGGGUUCUCUUCUCCCAGCUGUGGUGUGGGUCAGUCUUCCACCAAAAAAGGCACCAAGACACGCUGGUAGAUUCCAACAGAUUUUUAUUGUACCGAAUACCAGAACCUUCCCUUUGGCCCACUUAUAUAGGGGCUCUCACAUACCAGAGGGUAAUUGAAGUUUUAUGGCUGGUCCGUUUUAUGGCUGGCAUCUGUUCUUUGUCAGCCAACCGGAGAUGUCAAAGAUUGGAGAUCAUGACACCGACUUUUUGUGGUAGCCCCAAUCCAUUUUUGGAAGCCUCCCAAAAUCUGGAGGGCAGAUAUCUGUUUUCAGUGUGGGUCCCGAAAUAUCUGUUUUCUAUCGGACCAUUAUGCGGGACAUGCUUUAAGGAGGCUUCUUACCUGCUGUUUUUACUUGCCUCCUUGCCUUGGAAAAAGAGUGUGUGGUGUGACAUGGCGUACAGUGCCUGCAGCCGAGCGCCUCGUACUCUAGAGCAGUGGUUCUCAACCUUGGGAUCC